AGGAGGCGGACGCUUUUUCUGUUGCUGCUACUUUGCUUCUCCCUCCAUCUUGUCUCUGCUUGCUGCACUCUCGUCUCGUGCGUUUGACUGGAGUAAUCACUUGACGAGGUUUUUCCUAACAAACCAAAAUAUCAACCAUGGAAUUGAUCAGCUGGUCAGCUGAUCAACUUGAUCAAUGCAAUUGAUUUGAUUUUUUUUUCAACGAAGAGCAGAGGAGCGGGGGAACCUGCCUGCCCAGACGGGACUCGGCAUGCUGGGUAUGUGAUUGACGCCUGGGGCAAGUUGAGGGGUGUCACAUGCCUGGCACCCCUGUCCGUGGGGGGACAUAGGAAAUUUUUGCUUUUUCGAAUUUGUGAUGACUGGCCUGCAGCUGAUUGGUUUGUGCUGCAGCCUGAUCUUCUGGAGGAUUAAGAAGAUCGCCACCACAAAAGACGUCCAAGGGAGGACGGUCUUUUCAAACCAACAGGCAAAAGCUGGCGCUGACCGUGUGUGCGAACUCUUUCAAAAGGUGGACAAUUUGCCUGGGGCUUUGGACGAUUUGAGACGCAAGAUGGAUUUCAUCUCGAGAAGUUUAAACUCAGCUGCUGUCUGAAAAGCUGAGCACCAAGCAGAGGAAGGUCAAACGGCUCCUUCCACACCAAAAGGAGAUACCUUCUGAUUGCAUCCCUUGGAAUUCAAAACAAUCCUCUGAAAGGCCCAAGGUCAAAGGAUCGCUUAUCUAUCUCCUUUCCGUCUCACUCCCAAUGCAAUCCAAACUCACUCUGGACUGCUUCUGAUGAGGCCAUCUCCACAGCAAGUAUCAUCUGCAAGUGGGUCACCUGGAGCGAACCGAUAUCCUCACACCUGCACCCACGAUGUUUCCGUACCCCAAACCAACCACCUCACCCACCCUUCUGAUGUUUGAUUCCCCUGUCAGCCACCUGUAAAUCGCUGCCGGGGCAAACAUUUUAUUUCGGUCUUAAUAAUUCAAUUAAUUCAAUGCUCCACAAGAAGCUAAGCAAAGUUGGGCUGGAUGACGACACCCAGCAGCUGAAGAAAGUUCUCCUGCCGGCUGACAUUUGAGGCCGUAGCACCUCACCACAGGCUCUGCUUGUCCAGAUGUUUCCAUCAACGCAACACAGAUGGUGUAACUACGACGUUUUUACUGGGAGAACUGAUAAUUGAUAAGGGAUUUGUUAUUGAGGCUUUCUGAAGAAAAGAUGAGUCGAGUCUCCUGUUCAACAGAAUUCUCAACUUCAUCCGUCCUCUUUCAGAGCAUGGUCUCUUCAGCUGGGUCCAUUUUGGCGUUAUAUAUACUGACUGGCAGAGUGCCGAGGUAAGCCAAGAAACUGUGACCAAUCACAGAAGACUUUGCGGACCACCCAAACGAAGAAAGUUCGCUUGAGGGGGCCAGGUGAUUGUACAUCUACCAUGAGAGCGUUUGUAUCUGUAAAGCAAGACUAUAGGUGCCCGGACUAAUAAUGAGCG